rnacentral:lncRNA from 1 species
AAAAACUUACGAGAUCAGUUAUUAAUUGAGGAAUGUAUCCCACUAAUUGAGGAAGAAAAUUCGAAAUCAAUACCAAACUGUAAGGAGAAUGCACAAAAUCACAAUUUAAAGCCAGUAAUCACAGCCUUAAAGAGAGCUUGUAAGAAUCAGUAUAAAAUCACCCAUAAGGAGAAUGCACAAAAUCACAAUUUUUGAAGCCAGUAAUCACAACCUUAAAAAGAACUUUUAAGAAUCAGCGUAAAAUCACCAUAUAAACAGCCAGAAACCUUAAGAGAAGAAUACAACACACUAGCAACAAGAGUUAAAGUAAAGAGCACAGAACUCAAUGAAGAACCCAGAAGAACAUGAAAAUAGGCAAAUACGUAUACAAACAUGUAGGAUUAGGGUUUUCGUCAGAUAUUAACAAAAUGUUUAGAAGUAGUACUAAGAGUUACAAACUAGUACUCAAAAAUCAGAAAAGUAAAAUGUUUUCGAAAGGGGUUAAGAGACCCUAGCAAUAGAAAUUACAGUAUGGAACCCUGGUUAACAAGGAAAAUAAACAAACAAGUGAAACAAACAAACACAAAUGAAUAUAUAUUAUCUAGAAAGAGUUGAAGAAGGGGUCAGAAACCCUAAUUUGAAAGAGUGGUAAUCAUCCGAAAAAUUAAAAAUAACCGGAAAUGCUAAGUAAAAAUAGGGUAGAAAACAAAAAAUCAGACUAAGCAUUAUUUUAAAAGAGCAGAGAUUAAAGAAGAAAAAUUAGGGUUUUCAAACAAAUUAGGGAAAACGAAGAACCUGGCUGUGAAACUCGUAUACAAUGCCAGAGAAGGCAUCAUCAUACAAAUACCACCGGAGAAAAGCCGGAAAACAGACCCUAGUGAAGCUUCAGUGACCUUCUUUCAUGGCGAAAGCUGCUGAGCUUCAAGCAUUAGAGAGAAAACAACGAUGCAAGGACUCCAUGGUUGCUGGAGGUCGAGAGAAGUGAGGGAGGAGUGAGCCAGAGAGGCGAUGGUCAUCAUCGGAAAAGAAAGAGAGAACUAG